rnacentral:rRNA from 1 species
GAUGAACGCUGGCGGCGUGCCUAAUACAUGCAAGUCGAGCGAACAGACGAGGAGCUUGCUCCUCUGACGUUAGCGGCGGACGGGUGAGUAACACGUGGAUAACCUACCUAUAAGACUGGGAUAACUUCGGGAAACCGGAGCUAAUACCGGAUAAUAUAUUGAACCGCAUGGGUCAAUAGUGAAAGACGGUUUUGCGGUCACUUAUAGAUGGAUCCGCGCCGCAUUAGCUAGUUGGUAAGGUAACGGCUUACCAAGGCAACGAUGCGUAGCCGACCUGAGAGGGUGAUCGGCCACACUGGAACUGAGACACGGUCCAGACUCCUACGGGAGGCAGCAGUAGGGAAUCUUCCGCAAUGGGCGAAAGCCUGACGGAGCAACGCCGCGUGAGUGAUGAAGGUCUUCGGAUCGUAAAACUCUGUUAUUAGGGAAGAACAAAUGUGUAAGUAACUAUGCACGUCUUGACGGUACCUAAUCAGAAAGCCACGGCUAACUACGUG